AUGCUGAGAUAUAAUCUCGAGGAUCAACUCUCGACCAUCUACACGGAUGAAGAGGCAUACUCGAGGCUACGCGGCACCCAAUGGUGGGUGCUCCACGGGGACGCCAAUAUGGCCUACUUCCAGGCGAUUGCCAAUGGGCGGCGUCGUCGGAAUUCCAUCCAUUGCUUGUGGGAUGCAGAUACCCCCCUCGUCCGCCCUUCGGACAUCCGUGUACAUGUCAAUGACUUUUAUAAAGCCCUAUUUUCCGCCACCCCUCGGGGUGGGGCUGCACUGGCUCCCGACACUUGGUCGGCUAACCAGUUGGUAUCUGCCCAGGCGAAUGCCGCUUUGGUGGCGCCCUUCUCUAAGGACGAGGUCCUCGCAGCCAUUAAGGGUAUGAACCCUUCCUCGGCCCCGGGUCCGGAUGGACUGCAAGUGACGUUUUACAAAACGUUCUGGCAGACCAUCAAACUGGAAGUCAUGGCCCUUUUCGAUGAGUUCUACUCGGGGACCAUGGACCUUGGGCGCGUUAACUAUGGGGUCAUCACCCUCAUCCCCAAAGUUCCGGGUGCUUCUGACAUCCGCCAGUUUCGGCCUAUCACCGUGAUCAAUGUGAUAUUCCGGAUCCUGGCCAAAGGGUACGCCAACAGGAUGAUCCUUCUUGCGGACUCAGUAACCCACCCCAAUCAAUCCGCCUUCAUCCAAGGGCGGUUUAUUCUGGAUGGGGUGUUGGUCUUCCAUGAAGUCCUUCACGAAGUCCGGUCCAAGCACCAUCGAGCGGUCUUUCUGAAGCUCGAUUUCCACAAAGCCUAUGACACGGUUCACUGGCCCUUCCUUCGGGAAGUCUUGCUUCGCAAGGGCUUCGAUGAUCGGUGGGUGACCAGAGUUAUGCAACUCGUCUCUUGCGGUCGGACCGCUCUGAACAUUAACGGUGAGAUCGGGCCUUACUUCCCCACUCUCAUGUGGGGUUCGUCAGGGUGA
rnacentral:rRNA from 1 species